AUUGAACGCUGGCGGCAUGCCUUACACAUGCAAGUCGAACGGUAACAGGGAGCUUGCUCCGCUGACGAGUGGCGAACGGGUGAGUAAUGUAUCGGAACGUACCUUUUAGUGGGGGAUAACGUAGCGAAAGUUACGCUAAUACCGCAUAUUCUCUGAGGAGGAAAGCAGGGGACCUUCGGGCCUUGCGCUAAUAGAGCGGCUGAUAUCAGAUUAACUAGUUGGUGAGGUAAAGGCUCACCAAGGCGACGAUCUGUAGCGGGUCUGAGAGGAUGAUCAGCCACAAUGGAGCUGAGACACGGUCCAGACUCCUACGGGAGGCAGCAGUGGGGAAUUUUGGACAAUGGGGGCAACCCUGAUCCAGCCAUGCCGCGUGAGUGAAGAAGGCCUUCGGGUUGUAAAGCUCUUUCGGCCGGGAAAAAAUCGCAUGGGUUAAUACCCUGUGUGGAUGAUGGUACCGGAAUAAGAAGCACCGGCUAACUACGUGCCAGCAGCCGCAGUAA
rnacentral:rRNA from 1 species